rnacentral:lncRNA from 12 species
GCAAAUUGUGUGCAGACAAUGUGCUCUUUCAGCAGGCUUGGAUCACACGGGGACCUUGGGGUGGGAAGUUCUGCAGCCCACGCUGGGCAAAACCCAUUUUAUUGCUGAGGAAUAUGGCUGUUGGUGAAAUUCCCCACACAGAAAAGGUAAGAAACCAUCCAGACAAAUAAGAAUGCUGACUGGAAAAAGUCAGGACAGGACUGGCUUCAGGCACAAGGAAUAGAAAUGAAUAUUUAGGGAUUUUAUUGUUUGGUGGUCCUCACAGUUCAUGCAGACUCUGUGCCCUUUCACAGCCAGAAACAGGAACAAAUUGUCCGACUUGCUUUACUCCACAGGAAAGGAAAUCUGACUCUUCCCACAGCCAGCAGCCUGGGAACGUCACAAACCCUGAAUUAUCCCUGCUUGAUGAGCUACAUCUGCUUUCAGAGCAUCUCAAAUCAUUUCAUAACCCUGCCUGUAACUUCAGUGCUGCUGCCUCCAGGUCGGGAUGACAUCGCACAGAGCUGCUGCUCACUCCUGGAAGCAGAGGAAGGAGGAAGCCCGACCUGCACAUGCUUGCACCAUCUGCUGGCAGCAUCUCCACGGACAGACACUCCUAGGAGGGAUUCUGUGACUCCUCAUCCACACCCAGGGACACGAGGCCACGUUACAAAGGCUUCAGAUUCAGGUGAGGACUUGUUUUGCUCCAUAGCAGAGCCAUUUCUGCCCGGAUUUAAGGAAUUACACAGCAAAGUGACCCCAACACAAGCAGGGAACUGCAGAGCCUGUGCUCAUCCAGAACUACCAGGUCUUGUCCCCACCACAGUGCCAUCCCCUCCUGAAUUUCUGAACUCCCUGCUGGAAUCUCAGCUGAAGAAUGGGAUCCUGUCAACUCCUUGC